AUACGUAGGGGGCGAGCGUUGUCCGGAAUGAUUGGGCGUAAAGGGCGCGUAGGCGGCCCGGUAAGUCUGGAGUGAAAGUCCUGUUUUUAAGAUGGGAAUUGCUUUGGAUACUGUCGGGCUUGAGUGCAGGAGAGGUAAGUGGAAUUCCCCGUGUAGCGGUGAAAUGCGUAGAGAUUGGGAGGAACACCAGUGGCGAAGGCGACUUACUGGACUGUAACUGACGCUGAGGCGCGAAAGUGUGGGGAGCAAACAGGAUUAGAUACCCUGGUAGUCCACAUUGUAAACGAUGAAUGCUAGGUGUAGGGGGUAUCGACCCCUUCUGUGCCGCAGUCAACACAAUAAGCAUUCCGCCUGGGGAGUACGGCCGCAAGGUUGAAACUCAAAGGAAUUGACGGGG
rnacentral:rRNA from 1 species